UACGAAGGGGGCUAGCGUUGCUCGGAAUCACUGGGCGUAAAGCGCACGUAGGCGGAUCUUUAAGUCAGAGGUGAAAUCCCAAGGCUCAACCUUGGAACUGCCUUUGAUACUGGGGAUCUCGAGUCCGGAAGAGGUGAGUGGAACUGCGAGUGUAGAGGUGAAAUUCGUAGAUAUCAGGAGGAACACCGGUGGCGAAGGCGGCUUUCUGGACACUUACUGACACUGAGACGCGAAAGCGUGGUGAGCAAUCAGG
rnacentral:rRNA from 1 species